AGUGAACGCUGGCGGUAGGCCUAACACAUGCAAGUCGAACGGCAGCACAGUAAGAGCUUGCUCUUACGGGUGGCGAGUGGCGGACGGGUGAGGAAUACAUCGGAAUCUCCUUUUUCGUGGGGGAUAACGUAGGGAAACUUACGCUAAUACCGCAUACGACCUACGGGUGAAAGCAGGGGAUCUUCGUACCUUUCGCGAUUGAAUGAGCCGAUGUCGGAUUAGCUAGUUGGCGGGGUAAAGGCCCACCAAGGCGACGAUCCGUAGCUGGUCUGAGAGGAUGAUCAGCCACACUGGAACUGAGACACGGUCCAGACUCCUACGGGAGGCAGCAGUGGGGAAUAUUGGACAAUGGGCGCAAGCCUGAUCCAGCCAUACCGCGUGGGUGAAGAAGGCCUUCGGGUUGUAAAGCCCUUUUGUUGGGAAAGAAAAGCAGCAGGUUAAUACCCCGCUGUUCUGACGGUACCCAAAGAAUAAGCACCGGCUAACUUCGUG
rnacentral:rRNA from 1 species